UACGUAGGGUGCGAGCGUUAAUCGGAAUUACUGGGCGUAAAGCGUGCGUAGGCGGUCCGCGAAGUCUGAUGUGAAAGCCCACGGCUCAACCGUGGAGGGUCAUUGGAAACUGGGGAACUUGAGUGCAGAAGAGGAAAGUGGAAUUCCACGUGUAGCGGUGAAAUGCGUAGAGAUGUGGAGGAACACCAGUGGCGAAGGCGACUUUCUGGUCUGUAACUGACACUGAGGCGCGAAAGCGUGGGGAGCAAACAGG
rnacentral:rRNA from 1 species